CAGGUCUUCUAAACUCAGAAGUAGGCCCAAGAGUUUGAUCUUCACCUGGAGAAAAAGAAAAACAGAACAGGUGAAGCUGCCUCCUUAACCCUUUCAGGCCGUGCUCCACAUGACAAUCGAGGAAGCCUUGGGGAUCAGCCUGAGGCACUCACCGAAGUAAGGGGCUUGG